rnacentral:rRNA from 1 species
UACGUAGGGGGCAAGCGUUAUCCGGAUUUAUUGGGUUUAAAGGGUGCGUAGACGGCCAGACAAGUCUGAAGUGAAAAUCCAGCGCUUAACGCUGGAAGUGUUUUGGAAACUGCCGGGCUGGAGUGCAGGAGGGGCAGGCGGAAUUCCUAGUGUAGCGGUGAAAUGCGUAGAUAUUAGGAGGAACACCAGUGGCGAAGGCGGCCUGCUGGACUGCAACUGACGUUGAGGCUCGAAGGCGUGGGGAGCAAACAGG